GACGUAGGGUGCAAGCGUUGUCCGGAUUUACUGGGCGUAAAGAGCGCGUAGGCGGCUCGUUAAGUGAGGAGUGAAAGCUCCGGGCUCAACCCGGAAACCGCUUUUCAUACUGGCGAGCUAGAGUGAUGCAGAGGUGGAUGGAAUUCCCGGUGUAGCGGUGAAAUGCGUUGAUAUCGGGAGGAACACCCAUGGCGAAGGCAGUCCACUGGGCAUCAACUGACGCUGAGGCGCGAAAGCGUGGGUAGCAAACAGGAUUAGAUACCCCAGUAGU
rnacentral:rRNA from 1 species